AGCAGCAGAUGAAGUGGGUGAAGCCUCAGAAGGAUGUGAAAGUUGGCAACUGAAAGUCCAAGGUAGCGGUGCUGUCCUCGGGAGGCCAUUCACUGUGCAGUGGUUUUGUCUGUACAGGGAAUGAACGACUUCAAAGAGAUGGAAUGAACUUCCUUUGUUGUGACAGUGCUGACAAGAGCAGCCGCUUCCUCAGCCUCCUUCCCUGAAGCUGUCACUUCCAGAUCAUGCAGUGGGAAAGAUGCAGCUGCUUAUGAUGGGUGCCACUGAACAGUCUCUUGGCAUCUGCCUUGCCAUGCUUGCUCGAUGAACUGAUUUCUGGAGGAGAAAGGGGGUUCACACCAACUGUGCAGCCUUUUGUGUCCAGCUGUGGGCUGGGCUUUCCCUUAGCCAUAUGUUGGCCUUCGGCAUCAUGCUUUAUGCUUCUGCAUCAUGCCUCAUGGAGGAGAGCGGAUGUGUGUCUUGUUGCUCAUGAAUAGCAUUGCCAAUGUCUCCUGCCUGCAGUGGAUGUCCUCCCCAGUGACUUGAGCCACUUCCUCCUGAGAGAUGAGUGUCAUAACAGGGCUGAUUCUGUUCUGUCUCCUGUUAAUGUAACUGUAAACACCUCACAUGUCUGCUGAAAGCUGAAGAUACAACUGAGUUUAAAAUACUUUAUACUUCCAGACCACCAAUGAAGUUCCUUAAUGCAUCGAGCCCUGUACUACCGAGACUCGGUUACAGGCACUUAGAUACUCAGCAGUGUUGCAGCUUUAAUGUGAAUUCAGUGGUUUGAAGGCCAGGGUUAGCUUGAGUGUCCUGAAAACCAGUGUGGGACCUGAGGGAACCUGAGCCCUGCGGCUGACACUCCACUUGGAGUGUUUUCAUCCUCAGUCAUCCCAGUUACAACAGUGUAGUGUUUCUUCUGUGAUGCUGUAAUGAGACCUAAGCAGUCCCGUUGGAUAAUGGAUGAGGGUAGAAAAGAUCAGUCCAAAAGCUGAGCUAAUGCAGCUCUCCUGCAAUUACCAUGGCCUCUUUGCAGUGAUGGAACAACAAAGUCCUUGGUAAUCACUGCAAUAAGGUGAGAAGAGGUCUUCCUCUCUAAUUGAGGCUGUCAAACCUGCACCUUGACUUUGUAACUUGAAAAGAUGCUUGCAGCUUGCCAUCUCCAAAGCUUUUUGAACCACAUGCUCUCAAGCUUAAUUUCUGUUGAAAGCAGGCUCUUCCUUGAAAAAGAUCUUCUUUCACUUAAUGUGCUGCUAAAUCGUCUCAGAGCUGUUUCAUCUAUUUGUUAAGCCUCUUCAUGCUCAAACCAGUUCAUCACUAUGAUGGGGGAAAACCAUGCUUUCACCUGUAAUUGUCACUGGUGUAAAGAGACAGU